AGUGAACGCUGGCGGUAGGCCUAACACAUGCAAGUCGAACGGCAGCACAGGAGAGCUUGCUCUCUGGGUGGCGAGUGGCGGACGGGUGAGGAGUACAUCGGAAUCUACUCUGUCGUGGGGGAUAACGUAGGGAAACUUACGCUAAUACCGCAUACGACCUACGGGUGAAAGCAGGGGAUCUUCGGACCUUGCGCGAUUGAAUGAGCCGAUGUCGGAUUAGCUAGCUGGCGGGGUAAAGGCCCACCAAGGCGACGAUCCGUAGCUGGUCUGAGAGGAUGAUCAGCCACACUGGAACUGAGACACGGUCCAGACUCCUACGGGAGGCAGCAGUGGGGAAUAUUGGACAAUGGGCGCAAGCCUGAUCCAGCCAUACCGCGUGGGUGAAGAAGGCCUUCGGGUUGUAAAGCCCUUUUGUUGGGAAAGAAAUCCAGCUGGCUAAUACCCGGUUGGGAUGACGGUACCCAAAGAAUAAGCACCGGCUAACUUCGUGCCAGCAGCCGCCGUAA
rnacentral:rRNA from 1 species